GGGGGUUGUCACAGAAGGCCUAUAUGGAGGCACAGCAGUCUCUACUACUGGAAUUUCUCACUCUGGGGAACUGGAAUAGAAGCCCAAGGGGCUAACAUGUUGUAUGAUCUGCAAAUCCUAUGAGCCUCUGGAAUGAAGAUCACCUUGAGAAAGCAGAGAUUGUUUGCAGCCUUUCUGCUUCUGAAUGAU